rnacentral:rRNA from 1 species
UCGCCCUUAGAGUUUGAUCCUGGCUCAGGAUGAACGCUAGCUACAGGCUUAACACAUGCAAGUCGAGGGGCAUCAGUUUGGUUUGCUUGCAAACCAAAGCUGGCGACCGGCGCACGGGUGAGUAACACGUAUCCAACCUGCCUCAUACUCGGGGAUAGCCUUUCGAAAGAAAGAUUAAUAUCCGAUAGCAUAUAUUUCCCGCAUGGGUUUUAUAUUAAAGAAAUUCGGUAUGAGAUGGGGAUGCGUUCCAUUAGUUUGUUGGGGGGGUAACGGCCCACCAAGACUACGAUGGAUAGGGGUUCUGAGAGGAAGGUCCCCCACAUUGGAACUGAGACACGGUCCAAACUCCUACGGGAGGCAGCAGUGAGGAAUAUUGGUCAAUGGACGCGAGUCUGAACCAGCCAAGUAGCGUGAAGGAUGACUGCCCUAUGGGUUGUAAACUUCUUUUAUAUGGGAAUAAAGUUGUCCACGUGUGGAUUUUUGUAUGUACCAUAUGAAUAAGGAUCGGCUAACUCCGUGCCAGCAGCCGCGGUAAUACGGAGGAUCCGAGCGUUAUCCGGAUUUAUUGGGUUUAAAGGGAGCGUAGGCGGAUUGUUAAGUCAGUUGUGAAAGUUUGCGGCUCAACCGUAAAAUUGCAGUUGAUACUGGCAGUCUUGAGUGCAGUAGAGGUGGGCGGAAUUCGUGGUGUAGCGGUGAAAUGCUUAGAUAUCACGAAGAACUCCGAUUGCGAAGGCAGCUCACUGGAGUGUAACUGACGCUGAUGCUCGAAAGUGUGGGUAUCAAACAGGAUUAGAUACCCUGGUAGUCCACACAGUAAACGAUGAAUACUCGCUGUUUGCGAUAUACAGUAAGCGGCCAAGCGAAAGCAUUAAGUAUUCCACCUGGGGAGUACGCCGGCAACGAUGUAACUCAAAUGAAUUGACGG